AUGGAUGGAGGAACUUCAUGGGGGCACGGAUGGUUUCAAAUACAGUCACAUCCAAUCCCUCCAAGAUGUAUUUUGUCCUGGCAUCAUAUUUCCUGGCAUUUGCCUAGUGUGGCCUGGAUAAGCAAGGGUUACAUGUUGAACCAAAUUCAGCUGAGACCUCUGGGUGUUACUGACCCAACCUCUACACUUUGGUCGGCUAUUUUCGCAGGGGUAAAAUCUAGAGCUGCUAAGAUAGACGAAACCAUGACCAUGACAAGCACGUGGACCAGGCCACAAUUGUACAAAGGGGACAUUGAUGCUAAGGAUGUAAGUGACUUGCUGAGAGCAGGGCAAAAACCCAGAGCCUUCCUGGUCAUUUCACUGCAUCCCUAUGGCAGAGUGGCAUGUCUUGGAGCCAAGGCUUCAAAGUUCCAAAAAGGUGUGGGAGUUGUCAGGGGCAAAUGUGAUCUUUUCCUGGGCUGGCAGUGAAUCUAACCUUUCUUGUCAACACCCUGUUGCAACCCCCCCCCCCGCCCCCAUUGUCCUCCUGUUUAUUCCCUAUCCCUCUGUCUAUUGUUUCCUCUCUCCUUCACUCAUCAUCUCAUGUUGAGGCACACAAGAUCAGGAGAUAGGCUUUUAUGGGCAUGAGCACAAAUCUGAGCUCCUGGGAAGCCCUUGGGUGAGCCAUGGAGGUCCCCCAGCAUCCCUCAGAGGCUGUUGAUGGCCACGGCUGGGGAGCAGGCUGGAGCCUCAGUGCACCCCAUCUAGCAUGAUGGGUGGCUUUAUAGAGGAGCCGGAGACAGGUUCAAGCCAUUGACAUGUCUUUAGUUCAUCUAACAUGACCAGAUAUUUAGGCUAAAAUGCACCCAAUUCUGUAUAGUCUUGUCACCUUUUAGUCCAGUCUUAGCUCUUUGCUUGACCUUUGGGAUUGUGCAUCCAGUAGCUCCCCCAGCCUGUAUCCCUCCUUCACGAUCUCCUGGCCUACAGUCCAGGAGUGGAUGCCUGGCCCCAGCUGGACCAAGAAGGGUCUUCCAAGGUCAUUUGGACUUGGGCUCAUUUUAGGAUCUGUCUCUCUCCAGCUGGGCAAUGGAGUAUCAGUAUCAUUUUUGGGAACUCUUAGAGACCUUGCCUAGAGAGUCAACAAAAGAAAAAAGAAGGAAACUGAUAUGCGGAGGCAAAUAGAGUUGAGAAGUGGUCCGAGUGCGUUCGGUUGCCUUUGCUCCUGAGGCCCAGCUGCUGACCCCUGCCCUGAGUGCGACCUUGCCAUGUGACUUUCCCUACAUUCUCAACUGAGACCCAAGGAAUUUCCUCUUCUGCUCUGGCUCUAACUGGUUAGCUUUCACUGCAAGCACAAAGGGCCUUAAGUACACAGCUCUCUCAAUCGAUCAUGUCAUUCAUUCCUGGGUGUAAGUGCCUGUUCGGGGAUGGUUUUUGGUUUUGUUUGUUUGUUUGUUUUGUUUUUUUUCUGUUGUCUUUUUAGGGCCUCACCCAUGGCAUAUGGAGGUUCCCAGGCUAGGGGUUGUAUCGGAGCUACAGCUGCUGGCCUACAGCACAGCUCAUGGCAACACCGGAUCCUUAACCCACUGAUCGAGGCCAGGGAUCGAACCUUCAUCCUCAUGGAUACUAGUCAGAUUUGUUUCCUCUGAACCAUGACCAGGAACUCCCGUUUUGUUUCCUUUUUAUGGCUGCAUCCCUGGCAUAUGGAAGUGCCUGGGCCAGGGAGUUGAAUCAGAACUGCAGCUGCCCUCUUAACACCAUAGCCACAGCAAUGCGGGACCCAAGCCACAUCUGCAACCCACUGUAGCCAGGCAAUGUUGGAUCCUUAACCCACUGAGCGAGGCCAGGGAUCGAACCCACAUCCUCAUGGAUAUUAGGCAGAUUCUUAACCUGCUGUGCCACAACGGGAACUCCUGAAAAAUGAUUUUUAACAAUUAUUUUCAUUUAGAUAGACCGAAAAGCAGAAUUAGUAAGGAGGGUUCUGGGGUAAAAGUUUAUGACAGGCCUUAGGAGGAAGACUCCACUAUGGCUUUGUAAACAUGUGAUUAAGUUCGUCUGUCACCAAAGCUUCAUGAUGUAUUUAUAAUUCAUUGGUGAGUUCCCAUCAUGGCUCUGUGGUUAACCAAUCCGACUAGGAACCAUGAGGUUGCGGGUUCGAUCACUGCCCUUGCUCAGUGGGUUAAGGAUCCAGUGUUGCCGUGAGCUGUGGUGUAGGUUG
rnacentral:lncRNA from 1 species